rnacentral:rRNA from 1 species
AUGAACGCUGGCGGCGUGCUUAACACAUGCAAGUCGAACGGAGAUAUAGCGAGGAAUCUUUCGGGAGGAAUCGUUUUAUCUUAGUGGCGGACGGGUGAGUAACGUGUGGGUAACCUGCCCUAUACAGGGGAAUAAUCAUUGGAAACGAUGACUAAUACCGCAUGACAACACGAUUAGGCAUCUAAUUGUGAGAAAAGAAGAGAUUCGGUAUAGGAUGGACCCGCAUCUGAUUAGCUAGUUGGUGAGAUAACAGCCCACCAAGGCGACGAUCAGUAGCCGACCUGAGAGGGUGAUCGGCCACAUUGGGACUGAGACACGGCCCAAACUCCUACGGGAGGCAGCAGUGGGGAAUAUUGCACAAUGGGGGGAACCCUGAUGCAGCAACGCCGCGUGAAGGAAGAAGGUUUUCGGAUCGUAAACUUCUAUCGAUAGGGACGAAAGAAAUGACGGUACCUAAAUAAGAAGCCCCGGCUAACUACGUGCCAGCAGCCGCGGUAAUACGUAGGGGGCAAGCGUUAUCCGGAAUUACUGGGUGUAAAGGGAGCGUAGGCGGCAUGGUAAGCCAGAUGUGAAAGCCCGCGGCUUAACUGCGAGGAUUGCAUUUGGAACUAUCAAGCUAGAGUACAGGAGAGGGAAGCGGAAUUCCUAGUGUAGCGGUGAAAUGCGUAGAUAUGAGGAAGAACACCGGUGGCGAAGGCGGCUUUCUGGACUGAAACUGACGCUGAGGCUCGAAAGCGUGGGGAGCAAACAGGAUUAGAUACCCUGGUAGUCCACGCUGUAAACGAUGAGUGCUAGGUGUUGGAGGGGAACCUUCGGUGCCGCAGCAAACGCAAUAAGCACUCCACCUGGGGAGUACGACCGCAAGGUUGAAACUCAAAGGAAUUGACGGGGGCCCGCACAAGCGGUGGAGCAUGUGGUUUAAUUCGAAGCAACGCGAAGAACCUUACCAAGGUUUGACAUCCCUCUGACGGGAGUAGAGAUACUCCGUUUCUUCGGGACAGAGGAGACAGGUGGUGCAUGGUUGUCGUCAGCUCGUGUCGUGAGAUGUUGGGUUAAGUCCCGCAACGAGCGCAACCCUUACCUUUAGUAGCCAGUAUUAAGUUAGGCACUCUAGAGGGACUGCCGUGGAUAACACGGAGGAAGGUGGGGAUGACGUCAAAUCAUCAUGCCCCUUAUAUCUUGGGCAACACACGUGCUACAAUGGUUGGAAACAAAGGGAAGCGACCCCGCGAGGGUGAGCAAAACUCAAAAACCCAAUCCCAGUUCGGAUUGUAGUCUGCAACUCGACUACAUGAAGCUGGAAUCGCUAGUAAUCGCGAAUCAGAAUGUCGCGGUGAAUACGUUCCCGGGCCUUGUACACACCGCCCGUCACACCAUGGGAGUUGGAAGCGCCCGAAGUCGAUGACCCAACCGAAAGGGAGGAAUCGCCGAAGGUGAAGCCAGUGACUGGGGUG